rnacentral:lncRNA from 1 species
GGCCAGCCAUAUGUAGAGUAGAUCUUCUCAUCUCAGUAAGUCCAGCCUAGAAACCUCACAGACUUGCCUGGGCUUGUCUUCUGGGUGAUCAUUAGGUCAAUAUUAGUCAUCACAAAUCCAUCUCUUGUCAACUUAAGACCCAAACAUACUACUUUUAAGUUAUCACCAUGCAUCUGUCAUCCUCAUAGGUCCAUGGCCAUCAUUCCUGCAGAUGUAUUCUGUCUAACUUAAGAGUCCCCAUAGUCGGGACUGGCGAGAUGGCUUAGUGGAUAAGAGCACUGACUACUCUUCUGAAGGUCCUGAGUUCAAAUUCCAGCAACCACAUGGUGGCUCAUAACUACUCAUAAUAGGAUCUGACACUGUCUUCUCGUGCGUCUGAAGAGACCUACACUGUACUUAUGUAUAAUAAUAAAUACAUUAAAAAACAAAAAAAAAAGAGUCCCCAUAGUCGUCAUCAGCCCUAACCCAGUUUAAAAGUUCAAAAUCCAGAAUCUCUUCUGGGUCUCAAGGCAGCGAGGAUCUAUAAAAUUAAAAAAGAAAGGUUACAUAUUCCCAAUGCCCAUGGCACAGAGUCAACAUCUGCUCCAGAAGGGAGGAAUAGCAGCACAGUGGGAAAGAUCAGCCUGGAACAAGGCUGAGGCCCAGCAGGCUGAACUGCAGCUCCACAUCUGGUGUCUGGAGCUCUCGAUGGAAUCCUCUGUGCCCCAGAAGGCUUAGGUAGCCCUCAUUUGUGGAUUGGCUCUCAUCCCUCAUUCACAUUCUCAUAGUGAGCAUCUCUAUUCUGGCAUCUCCAACGCCCUGGUGGCACCAUUGAAGUUAGGGCUCACCUUCACUGCCACACCUUGCCUGGCUGCCAUGACCUAGAACUUUGACACAAGUUCCACGAGUCCCUUAAUUAUUGCAUCUUUCAUGCUUGUAAAACCAGCCUUCAAGUUCUUCAGCGAGCUCAGGCUGUACUCUGGCUUCCAGGACCACAGUUGCAGCUGUCCCUCAGUGCCCUGUCCUCAGGAAACACUUCCUAGGCCCCUGCUGAGAGCAGGGAACUCCUUCACCUCUUGAGGGAGUUUGUAUUUUCCCAGGUUGAGGCCCUCAGGAAUGCAUGCGUCCUCAGGGUCUUUACUGUUCCCUAGUUCAGAGCACAGGGUUUCUCCUUACUGGUUCUAGUAUUUGUAAUACUUACAACUGAUUCUCUGUACCAUCUUGGUGGGCAAAUUUAACCUCUCUCUACCACAUAGCACAUUUUAAAAAGUCCUUUUCUCUCCCUGUCCUGCUGUAGCUCUAGAUAAGAGCAGUGAGUAGGGACCACAGUGUGGCCUGAGUGGCUGACAUGCCACUAAUCCAUUGCUUUUGAAUUCUGCUUCACUCCAGUUCCCAGGACAUGGGUGGAAUGAACCCAGCUUCUUUGCCAGUGUGAACAACCUGUGGCACAGUUCCCAAUUAGAGCUCUUGCCUCCUGAAACCUCAUGGGCUUGGCCUCCUCUGUGCAUUUAUCUCUUGGUGUUCUGGUCUUCCAAACUCCCACCAAAACGUUCACUAUGCUCUGCUUACAGCCAUCUUAGGCUUUUCCAGCCCAGAGUUCCAAAUCUUUCCCCAUGUAUCCCCCAGCUUUGUUCCAAAGGCCCAGAAUCCACACAAUCAGGAUUGUCACAGCAGAAGCCCCACAUUGGGCACCAGUAUUCUGUAUUAGUAUUUUUCUCAUCUUUGCAACAGUAUACCCAGUAAAGCAACCCACGGAAGGAAAGGUUUGUUUGUUUGAGUAUGAAGUCCAUUCUAAUGGUGUUAUCCAUUUUACCCGUGUGUCCAAUUGUGUAAAAUUCUCUAAAAUGCACCAUGGUUGCAAGCAGAAAAACUUUAAGAAUCCUUGCUAUGUAGAAUAUUAAAGACCACUCAUUAAAGGGAUUUAUAAAGGCUUUAAAGUAGACACUAUUUUCAGUCCUGGUAAAUUAAAAGUAUUGUGUUAGCUGUUUAUAUUUAAAAUUCUCCCAGAAAGCAUGUUUUGUAGACAUUUUCUAAACUUUAUAUAAAAAGCAAAAAGUUUCAGUACCGAGUUCAGUUUGAGUUUUAAUCUAGAUUUGGAACAGAGCUAAAUAAAUCACAUUAUAGGAAAUGAGAAGCUCAGUUUGCUGAUAAUGAAGAAAGCUAUAAAUACCAAUAGCAACAAAAAGCAAGUUGUCGAAAAUGUGUGGUUAAUUGCCUGCAAGCUAGCUGAAAUAUGUAUGUUUUGUUUGGUCAUUAAGAAAAUGAUUUGUAACACUCACUGUGACGUUUGCUGGCCUAGUUUAAACGCCAAUGGGUGCACAAUGAACAGUUCUUUCACUUUUUCUUAAUAGUGUUUUUUUUUAUUUUUGGUUGUUUCACAUAUUUGUGCAAUGCCUGUUGGUCUGUCUAGCCACCACUACACCUCUAGCUUCCCCUACAGCCCCCACCUCAUCUCCCCUCUAGCUUUAUGUCCUCAUUUUAUUCUUUAACUACCUGAUUCCAGUUAGUGCCACCAUGUGCACGUGGGGGUGUGGCCACCCACUGAGGCAUAAGCAACCUGCCAAGGCUACAUCCCGGAAGGAGAGUGAGUGGCUCAUCUUUUUUCAGAGAACCAGAAGCUUCUCUAAAAGCAGUGGGGUAUCAGGGGCUUCUGCAUCCAAGAACUCCCCAUGUAGCUCAUAGUAUAUGUACCUCAGCAUUCCCAGUGAUGGGAUUGCAGGCAUUUUACAUGGGGGGGGGGAUUUCCUAUUUAAAUGUCCAGUGUCCAUAUAAAAUAAUCAACUUCAAAAGGGUGGUGGCACAGGACUUUAAUCCCAGCACUUGGGAGGCAGAGGCAGGUGUGUCUCUAAGAGUGUGAAUGAAGCCAUCCUGGUCUACAUAGUAAAUCCCAGGCCAAGGAUACAUGGUAAGACCCUUUCUCC